GAUUCCUCCUGUCCACACGGGCACAGAGAGGCAACAAUGCCCCUUUUCACUGCCCCAGUGAAACAGGGCAUUCUCAGCCCAGAAAGACUGCCACCAGUUACUUGUUUGAUAUAAGCCCAGUCCGCUAACGGGAUUAUAUAGGGUAAGAAACCAACCCGCAGUAGUGUAUAACUAG